CAUUGUUCUGUUAAGGAAAUUUCUUUCUGGCAGCGUGAGAGGGGCACUGCCUCCUACCCCCCUUCUGCCUCGGCAGAACAGUUGACCACAGCAGCAGCCGACUCCGGCUCGUCAUGUGCUUUCUCAUGUGAUGUAGGUCUGCGGCACUGUGGAGCAAUCGCAUUUGAGACUCGGCACUCGUGGACAGACGGGCGUUCAGGGACUGGGGAGUUUUUGGAGGGGGUGGGGAGGCCAAUAAACCAAGAAAACGUCAGAAAUAAAAGUCGCAUCAACUCCAGGGCUGCAUCACUGUGGGCACAUCAAGCUUCGUCCGGCUCACCUGCAUGGUUCCGGCUGACUCCCGCCUGAGAUGGCCCAUCGUACAACUAGAAUCCCAGAAUCUCCUGUCUGCACCCUGCCGAAGGACCUACUGCAAUCCCUGGCCAGGGUCUCUCACAGCCGGAUGGGGUCUUGGAAGACAGGGUGAAGUUGCAGAAGAUUGGGGUGGGAUGCUAGAGGCAUGUGAAGGACUUGGAAAGGGAAUUUAGGAAUACUAUACAUCAGUGCCCACCGAUGCUAUGCAUACAGGGGAGGGCAGCCGCAGCCCCUGACUCAUGCGCCUAACUCCGGCUGCUCUCUGGGAUUAGUCUGAGGGGGACAACCCAGGUCUGGAUAUGGUGGCAUUUUCCCAGAGAAUGGAACUGAAGAUGGAUGAACCAGGUACUUGCUGUGUCUGCCUGACAGGGCAGAGCUGGAGAAAUGGAAAGGGAGAAGAAGAGCUGCUGAGUGUCGUGAGAUUGUCUGCUGCCCUCUCUGCAGUCUUAGUCUAAGGAAGGAUGGCAUAAUGGAUCUGCCAGCACAUGCACGGAGGACCUGUAAAUUGCAAUGUGGAUGUCCCUGGUACUGUCAAGGAAGAAACUGAUGGGCUGGGUGACAAUACAGUGUCCCAGAGAAAA